rnacentral:rRNA from 1 species
GACGAACGCUGGCGGCGUGCUUAACACAUGCAAGUCGAACGGAAAGGCCCUGCUUUUGUGGGGUGCUCGAGUGGCGAACGGGUGAGUAACACGUGAGUAACCUGCCCUUGACUUUGGGAUAACUUCAGGAAACUGGGGCUAAUACCGGAUAGGAGCUCCUGCUGCAUGGUGGGGGUUGGAAAGUUUCGGCGGUUGGGGAUGGACUCGCGGCUUAUCAGCUUGUUGGUGGGGUAGUGGCUUACCAAGGCUUUGACGGGUAGCCGGGCUGAGAGGGUGACCGGCCACAUUGGGACUGAGAUACGGCCCAGCCUCCUACGGGAGGCAGCAGUGGGGAAUAUUGCACUAUGGGCGGGAGCCUGGUGCAGCACCGCCGCGUGCGGGAUGACGGCCUUCGGGUUGGAAACCGCUUUCGCCUGUGACGAAGCGUGAGUGACGGUAAUGGGUAAAGAAGCACCGGCUAACUACGUG